GUGGAAAAUGGAACAGAUUACACUUGUGUAUGCAAGAAUGGGUGGACCGGCAAGAAAUGUGAACUCGUCGAGGAUGUUGUAUCCAAACCACCGAACAAAAAGAAGACCAGUGUUGAAGAAUGUCAAUGUUGUGCUGAGCUGCUGGAUAUACAGAAGAAACUUCUUGCAGAGUUUGUGCGCAGUAAUGAAUUGAACCUGGAGAGAAACCUCUUCCUUGAAAAAAUAAAUUCAAGUCUCUCAGUUCUGGCUACUAAGCAGUAUUCAGAUUUGUGAUCCAAAUAAAUUAAAUUUCUUCAGCUGUUCCAUGUAUGUGUGGUCACAUAUAAAAAACACAUGCAUUUAAAUUUCAAUAUUAAUUUUGAUAUCAGAUAAAUUGUUGUUUGUAACAGAAGUAAUUAACUUAAAGAAAAUUAUGAUUGUUUAUUUCUAUAUACAAAUAUAUAUCAUAGUUCUAUUUUUCUUGAAUGUGAUAUAAAGCAGUGCAUUAUUUUUGUCUCAUGUUAUAUGAAAUAACUUGUUAUGUUGAUUACAUAUAAUGACCAUAUUAAACACAGACAAACCAA